AGUUUGAUCAUGGCUCAGGAUGAACGCUGGCGGCGUGCUUAACACAUGCAAGUCGAACGGUCUCUUCGGAGAUAGUGGCGGACGGGUGAGUAACGCGUGAGGAUCUGCCCUUAGGAGGGGAACAACAGUUGGAAACGACUGCUAAUGCCCCAUAUGCCGAGAGGUGAAACGGUUAAUUCCGCCUGAGGAUGAACUCGCGUCUGAUUAGCUAGUUGGUGGGGUAACGGCCCACCAAGGCGACGAUCAGUAGCUGGUCUAAGAGGAUGAUCAGCCACACUGGGACUGAGACACGGCCCAGACUCCUACGGGAGGCAGCAGUGGGGAAUUUUCCGCAAUGGGCGCAAGCCUGACGGACAACGCCGCGUGAGGGAGGAAGGCCUUAGGGUUGUAAACCUCUUUUCUCUGGGAAGAAGAACUGACGGUACCAGAGGAAUAAGCCUCGGCUAACUCCGUGCCAGCAGCC
rnacentral:rRNA from 1 species